CCGAGCAGACUGAAAAAAAAAACCACACACGGAGGACGGGCUCACCUCCUCUCCCUCUCGCCCACGAUGUCCUCGCCGCCGCCACCACCCAUGCCGUCCGCUUCCGGUGAGCUCCGGCGCCACGCACCAUGCCCCUGAGCUCCCAACGGUCCUCUCCUCGCUCCCCUCCAGCCAGAUUCUCUGCUCCCGGCCUCUACCGCCCGCUCGCAACCCCAUCCCCAUGGCUAGGGUUUCAGGCAGGGCUUCGCCGGCGUCAAGGGCAUCUUCACGGAGAUGUGAAGGACGCCAUGGACCUGCAGCUCCUCAUGGUCAGCGGGGAGGAACCCUAGCCGGCAGCACCUCCUCACCUUGGAUGACGCCUCUGCUGCGCCAAGAUAGGGCAAGCAACCCCAUCUGCUCUCAAUCUCUCCCAUUAGCACAAGUCCAGUUUUUUUGAACAAAAUUCUGCUACUACACGAACAAGUCCAUGAAUAGAUCUAUUUUUAUUUGUGAAUUGAUAUCCUUCCAAACACAAACAGUGUAUAUAUGUGUUGUUUUUAUUUUUGUACCCUUUUCAUUUUUGUGCUUUUAUAUGUAAGCUCAUAAAAUAGUUAUACUGAAAAUGACAUGUAAGUUCUUACUGUGGGAGUAUGACGACAUGAAAUUCUAACUGAAUUCUUUUCAGCUGGAAAACGCCUUUCUACAAAAAGGAAAUAAAUUAUUCAAUUCUUGGUUCCACAUAGUCCUAAUUGCUUACAGUUUUAUCUCUGUUCAAUCUAUCUUACUGAAUUUCUGAACAACCAGGGUUGCUAGCAUGCUGUGUGGUGGAUUUGUUUUUUUGAAAUUGUUUCACGGCUAUUUGAGUGCUUUUGUUCGUUCUGUUCAUCAGUUCUUUCUAGUAUAGUGACUCAAGAAGUGAUUCUUCUGCAAAGUGAUGUGCUCUCAAUCGAGCCAGGCUCCAGGAAAGGUGACCAAGUGGUGUGUGUUUACCUAGCCGAGCAUAAUCUGAACGACUCCAACUGUUGUGUACAAAUCCAGCUAUGCAAGUGCAAGUAAAACUACGGUGGUUGUUGCAUCCACAAGCUGAGUACAAGGCAGGCUGACUACUAGGAGCCAGUAUGACAAGUCUACAAAGAUCUCCAGUACUGACAAGGCUCAGUCUGUACAAGGGGGUGUCUCAGUCUGGUUUGCCGUAGGUCUUCAUCGCUAUGUUGAAUCACAUGCUCCUUAUAGUCUAAUGCAAGUUGCUCAUAUUCAGAAAAUUGGUUACUCUUGAAUGAGGAAAUAAGGUGCUGAUAUAAGCAUUAACAUUAGAGUUCACAAUCAGGAACUAACUAAAGCAUUAACAUUGUAUAGACUGUAUACAUUAAAACAAUCAGUGCCGAUGCUAAUUUCAGCCUUUUAUUUCUGGAGUCAAGGGAUAACCUUUAUUUGAAUGGUUAUAUUUUUAUUUCAAUUGGAAACAAUCUUGAUGCACCAUUGAAGUUAUUUAAUAAGAACUAUCAACUACUCCUUUUCUAUUUUUGCAUAUUAAUGGCCCCAGGUACUCAACUGAGGAACACACCAUGCCACUUCGAAUCAAUAUUAUCACCAUGUAUGGAAGAUACUAGGAACCAUGACUUUCUGAUGAAUAUUCUUAUGCCAUAGAAGUUUCUCACUUAUAUAAAUUAAAUUUAACUCACAAUAUAGAAUGCACUUAGUAAAAUAAAAAAUAUCAGAACAAAAGUAGAAAUUUUCCCCAAACAAUUAUGUUUACACUUCUCCUACUGUUUAGAGGUUGGUUUAGUUUUACCCUGUCAAGAAAAAAUCAUAUAUAGUUCUCCAGAAUUGGCCUGGCUUAUCACAUUACGAAGAUCCACACUGUGGUAGUUCCCUUUGUAAACAUGUACUUUCAAUCGUGGUGAUAUUUUUCAACCUAGAUGUACCACAUCAUGCAAGUUAGAUAAAGAAUACAAAUAAGAAAUAACUAGGCCAUAUUAAUGGUGGUUUCACUCUAAAUAGGACUAAGCAUAAGCUUGUAAAAUAAAGAGCACAUUAGUUGAUUCUCUACAUAUAAUAUCACUGCAUAUUACAUUCAGGUUGUAUAAGACUGAAUUUGUUUUUUCUGUUCGGUUCCGCAGAUGUCAGUGUGAACUGGUCACUGCUUUCGGAAAGUGUAGGUAAGUGGGUUACAUUUUAGAAGAUAACACAAUAUUGGUGAUGCCUUAUGGACACAUCGCUGUUAAGGAUAAUGCUUUUGCAAUGAGUAUUGACAUUUCUGGUUGGUAUAAUGCAACACGGUGGAAUCUCUUUGUAACAUUGCAACUGAAUAUCUUGCAUGCAAUUCAAGGUGUACAGUGAUGUCGAGUGCACCGGGUUUGCAGAGCUGCCCCAAGUGCAAGCUCUACAUUGACAGAGUGGAUGCUUGCACCUUGCGCCUGCAGGUAACUAUUGGUUCCCCAAGUCUCCUUCCUACGUGUGGGCACUGUAUUUGGUACUUGUGUGGAUCCACAAUUUCUAGGUUGUAGAAACUGCAGGACUACAUGGUGAUUUGUCAAUGAUCUUAAGUUGGCCGACUCUACUACAUGGAAAGAAUUAAUUAUGCAAAUCCAAACUAUUUCUGUAUAAAGACUGGAUACUACUGUUAAUACUGAUUUGGUUAACAACAUUUAGCUCAUGCAACUCUAAUGCCAGUUUGGCCAUCACUAUCAGAAGUAACACCUAUACAAGCUCUAUUAGUAAACAUCACAAUUCAUGAGUGUUGUUUGACAUCACAUUAGUGAGCUCCUCGCUCUUGUGAUCCUGUGUUAUGGAGUCAUAACCAUUUUCAGUUAUUUUCAUGCCAACACAUUCGAUGUUUUCUGUUUAAUGUUAAAUCAUAACCAUUAAUUAGUCCAUCAAUGUCUUUUAGUAUGUGUUUUCACUGCAAAAGCUUAACCAUUGCAGUUUCCUGUGUGUAGAAGCUUGUAGACAAUUUUGUUAACUGAUUUCUGUGAUUUGUUUUCUGUAUGUAGCCCCCACUUAUGUGGAUGGUUCGGCAUAUCCAUAUAAGCUUUGUCUUGCAAUGAUGGUCCAAAGUUUCAAAAAAUAUAUUAUAUGAAGUUUCAAAUUACUUUUUAAAAGUUUGAUGCAUCUCAAGGACAGUUAGUGGUUGUGUCCCGUAUCUAAGCAGCACACAAUUGUUGAAGGGUCAUGACAGAAUCAGAAUUUCCAGCAUUCCUUUUCCAAGGUAGCAUGGAUUCGGGAACUUAUUCAUCAGACUAAUUAGAGAAUAUUUUUACUAAUCUGGGCCGGAUAACGUGGCGGCUCGAGUGACUAGGGGCGGCGUGGCUGCUAGAUGCAGAACAGCGGUGGAUGCUGGAGCUUGAAGGGUCCAGAUCCAUGCGCGGUAGGGGUUGGGGAGGCGGAUCCAGAGAUGGGCGACGAGGAAAGGGUCGCUGGUGACGACGAGGAAGGCCGGAGCGCGUCUUCCCAGGUGGAUCCAUGGCAUCCGCGACUCCUGGGCAUAAAGGAGACAUGGAGGUGAGGGACAGAAGGAGGCGCGGUGCGGCGACCUUACGUAUUGAAAGUUCACUUCACAAAUCUGGAGAACUAGCUGUAACCCCCUUCUCAUAUCCUUGCACAGGUAAGCAACAAAGUUUGUUUUGGUGAUUUUUGCCUUCUUUGAUUGAUACUUUUGAAGCAUCAAUGGGUCUCAUUUGUUUGUCAAUUCGUCAGUUUACUGUAGCCUAUAUAGCUGUUGCCGACAGUAAACUAUAUUUGAUUGACAAGCAACACAUCAUGCACUCCUACAUACAUGGAUUCUGUUUGUACUUGACAGCAACAGACUACUCCAAUGUAUGAAUAUGUUUGUUUAAAAAUGGCAGAAUAUGUAUGAAUAUUAACUUCAUACAUGGAGUAAAUUCGUAAAAGAUGUAUGGGAUGAGUUUACUGAUAAAAAAAGAAUACAGAAUGCCUGAAUGACCCCAAUGUACCCAGCUCUCACCGCCAUAUAGCUAGCACAAGAGCUUAAAAGCAAAGUGCCAGCAUGCCUCAUACAUGUUCCAAGAUAAACUAGAACAUAGCUACAAAUGUAAUGCAUCAGCAACGUUGUCUGCUACUCUGCUUCACGUACAGCGUCAUUGCACAUUCAGUUAGGUACGUGCAGGACCUUGCAACAUUCAGUCAAGCAAGUAGCCGCUGUUGUUGGAACGCCGUUGUGUGGGCAGUGCUGAAGCAGUCGGCUCGUCCUCGGAUUAGAGCAGUGCCGAGUCCGCCGGGUCGUCCUCGCAGCGGGGAAGUCCCGAGGCUGCCGGGUCACAAUCGAGUGCAGCAGCGCCGCGGCCACCGGGUCGCCGCCUGAUAGAACACCAAGGCUACCAGGCCAUCGUAGCAUCAAGCAGCGCCGAGGGCCCAUCUUUUUUUAUUUGUACUAUAACAAUAUGAAGUUUGUAUUUUAACAAUCUUUGAUUAUUUUACAUGUAUUAUGUCCAGCUUGCUGUUGCGAGUCCUUGUUUAUUCUUGUGACAAAUUUAACUAUGAUUUUCAGCUCA